GACGACGCUGGCGGCGUGCCUAACACAUGCAAGUCGAGCGGGGUUGAAGCGAGGGGUAACUCGAGUUUCUACCUAGCGGCGGACGGGUGAGUAACGCGUGGGCAACCUGCCUCAAGGACUGGGAUAACAGCUCGAAAGGGCUGCUAAUACCGGAUAUGCCUGUGGCCUCGCAUGGGGCUAUGAGCAAAGGGGAAACCCGCCUUGAGAUGGGCCCGCGUCCCAUCAGCUAGUUGGUGAGGUGAAGGCUCACCAAGGCGACGACGGGUAGCCGGCCCGAGAGGGUGACCGGCCACACUGGGACUGAGACACGGCCCAGACUCCUACGGGGGGCAGCAGUGGGGAAUCUUGCACAAUGGGCGAAAGCCUGAUGCAGCGACGCCGCGUGAGCGAAGAAGGCCUUCGGGUUGUAAAGCUCUGUCUGGAGGGACGAAGGAAGUGACGGUACCUCCGGAGGAAGCCACGGCUAACUACGUG
rnacentral:rRNA from 1 species